rnacentral:rRNA from 1 species
GACGAACGCUGGCGGCGUGCUUAACACAUGCAAGUCGAACGGAAAGGCCCUGCUUGCGGGGUACUCGAGUGGAGAACGGGUGAGUAACACGUGGGAGCUCUGCCCUGCACUUCGGGAUAAGCUUGGGAAACUGGGUCUAAUACCGGAUAGGAGCCAUCUUUAGUGUGGUGGUUGGAAAGUUUUUUCGGUGUAGGAUGAGCUCGCGGCCUAUCAGCUUGUUGGUGGGGUAAUGGCCUACCAAGGCGGCGACGGGUAGCCGGCCUGAGAGGGUGUACGGCCACAUUGGGGAUGAGAUACGGCCCAGACUCCUACGGGGGGCAGGAGGGGGGGAUAUUGCACAAUGGGGGCAAGCCUGAAGCAGCGACGCCGCGGGGGGGAUGAAGGCCUUCGGGUUGUAAACUCCUUUCGCUAGGGACGAAGCUUUUUUGUGACGGUACCUAGAGAAGAAGCACCGGCUAACUACGUG